rnacentral:rRNA from 1 species
CCUACGGGUGGCAGCAGUGAGGAAUAUUGGUCAAUGGACGAGAGUCUGAACCAGCCAAGUAGCGUGAAGGAUGACUGCCCUAUGGGUUGUAAACUUCUUUUAUAUGGGAAUAAAAUGUUCCACGUGUGGGAUUUUGUAUGUACUAUAUGAAUAAGGAUCGGCUAACUCCGUGCCAGCAGCCGCGGUAAUACGGAGGAUCCGAGCGUUAUCCGGAUUUAUUGGGUUUAAAGGGAGCGUAGGUGGAUUGUUAAGUCAGUUGUGAAAGUUUGCGGCUCAACCGUAAAAUUGCAGUUGAUACUGGCAGUCUUGAGUACAGUAGAGGUAGGCGGAAUUCGUGGUGUAGCGGUGAAAUGCUUAGAUAUCACGAAGAACUCCGAUUGCGAAGGCAGUUCACUAAACUGCCACUGACACUGAGGCUCGAAAGUGUGGGUAUCAAACAGGAUUAGAUACCCGUGUAGUC